AGGAGAAAGUCUGUGUUGGAUUAUGGAAAGCUGUUUCACUCUAUAUAAUUAAAAGCUUGACUGAGUUUCAACAUGAAGAUUUUGGGCAAGAUAAAACUGGACAGGCUGUACCAGACAGUUUACAGUCCUGCACAGACCGAGAAGGAAUGAGUGAUACACCUGAAACUGAGGAGACUGGAGGAACUUGUGAUUCCUGGCAGAGUGGCCUGUGGGCACAAGUGAAAGACAAGUUAAUGAAAUAUUUGCAUCACAGCAACAUUUUCCCAGAAAGCAUCCCACGUAAAUUUGAUUAUCUGCACAAGGACUUACUGAUGCAGCAGUACAACCUUCAUGCAGCAGUGCACCAGCCAAAAGAAACCAGAACAGAGAAAAAUAUCACUGAGUUUAAAAGUGCUAGUGGCCUUGGGUCUUAUGAAGUGACAGUUC